rnacentral:rRNA from 1 species
AACGAACGCUGGCGGCAUGCCUAACACAUGCAAGUCGAACGAGACCUUCGGGUCUAGUGGCGCACGGGUGCGUAACGCGUGGGAAUCUGCCCUUCGGUUCGGAAUAACAGUUAGAAAUGACUGCUAAUACCGGAUGAUGACGUAAGUCCAAAGAUUUAUCGCCGAAGGAUGAGCCCGCGUAGGAUUAGGUAGUUGGUGGGGUAAUGGCCCACCAAGCCGACGAUCCUUAGCUGGUAUGAGAGGAUGAUCAGCCACACUGGGACUGAGACACGGCCCAGACUCCUACGGGAGGCAGCAGUGGUGAAUAUGGGACAAUGGGCGAAAGCCUGAUCCAGCAAUGCCGCGUGAGUGAUGAAGGCCUUAGGGUUGUAAAGCUCUUUUACCAGGGAUGAUAAUGACAGUACCUGGAGAAUAAGCUCCGGCUAACUCCGUGCCAGCAGCCGCCGUAA